AGAGUUUGAUCCUGGCUCAGAUUGAACGCUGGCGGCAUGCCUUACACAUGCAAGUCGAACGGCAGCACGAGAGCUUGCUCUUGGUGGCGAGUGGCGAACGGGUGAGUAAUAUAUCGGAACGUACCCUAGAGUGGGGGAUAACGUAGCGAAAGUUACGCUAAUACCGCAUACGAUCUACGGAUGAAAGUGGGGGAUCGCAAGACCUCAUGCUCAUGGAGCGGCCGAUAUCUGAUUAGCUAGUUGGUGGGGUAAAAGCUCACCAAGGCGACGAUCAGUAGCUGGUCUGAGAGGACGACCAGCCACACUGGAACUGAGACACGGUCCAGACUCCUACGGGAGGCAGCAGUGGGGAAUUUUGGACAAUGGGCGCAAGCCUGAUCCAGCAAUGCCGCGUGAGUGAAGAAGGCCUUCGGGUUGUAAAGCUCUUUUGUCAGGGAAGAAACGGUGGACUCUAAUACAGAUCACUAAUGACGGUACCUGAAGAAUAAGCACCGGCUAACUACGUGCCAGCAGCCGCGGUAAUACGUAGGGUGCAAGCGUUAAUCGGAAUUACUGGGCGUAAAGCGUGCGCAGGCGGUUGUGCAAGACAGAUGUGAAAUCCCCGGGCUCAACCUGGGAAUUGCAUUUGUGACUGCACGGCUAGAGUGUGUCAGAGGGGGGUAGAAUUCCAUGUGUAGCAGUGAAAUGCGUAGAGAUGUGGAGGAAUACCGAUGGCGAAGGCAGCCCCCUGGGAUAACACUGACGCUCAUGCACGAAAGCGUGGGGAGCAAACAGGAUUAGAUACCCUGGUAGUCCACGCCCUAAACGAUGUCUACUAGUUGUCGGGUCUUAAUUGACUUGGUAACGCAGCUAACGCGUGAAGUAGACCGCCUGGGGAGUACGGUCGCAAGAUUAAAACUCAAAGGAAUUGACGGGGACCCGCACAAGCGGUGGAUGAUGUGGAUUAAUUCGAUGCAACGCGAAAAACCUUACCUACCCUUAACAUGUCUGGAAUCCUUGAGAGAUCAGGGAGUGCUCGAAAGAGAAUCAGAACACAGGUGCUGCAUGGCUGUCGUCAGCUCGUGUCGUGAGAUGUUGGGUUAAGUCCCGCAACGAGCGCAACCCUUGUCAUUAGUUGCUACGAAAGGGCACUCUAAUGAGACUGCCGGUGACAAACCGGAGGAAGGUGGGGAUGACGUCAAGUCCUCAUGGCCCUUAUGGGUAGGGCUUCACACGUCAUACAAUGGUACAUACAGAGGGCCGCCAACCCGCGAGGGGGAGCUAAUCCCAGAAAGUGUAUCGUAGUCCGGAUUGUAGUCUGCAAUUCGACUACAUGAAGUUGGAAUCGCUAGUAAUCGCGGAUCAGCAUGUCGCGGUGAAUACGUUCCCGGGUCUUGUACACACCGCCCGUCACACCAUGGGAGCGGGUUUCACCAGAAGUGGGUAGCCUAACCGCAAGGAGGGCGCUCACCACGGUGGGAUUCGUGACUGGGGUGAAGUCGUAACAAGGUA
rnacentral:rRNA from 1 species